GGAGAAGCUGUGGCUAAAUGGCAGAUCAUUUGCCUUGGAUGCAGAAGGUCACAUGUUCAAUUCCUGGCAUUUCCA
rnacentral:tRNA from 1 species